CAAAAACUUCAAUAAAUUUCCAUUUUUCUUUUCAUGAAAUAAUUAUUUUUAAUGUUAUGUAUUAAUCAUUGCUGCCAUAAUUUGUAUUUACAGUGCUUUGAGUGAGGACAAAGUGGUUUGAUGACUGGCUGCCAAAAUGAUUUAAUUCAAAGUAAUUGCUUGCUGAGGUUAAAAAAGUACGGAAUUUAUCAAGCGUUAUAUGCUCUAAUGCAAGGUUCUUGGUAAUAAUAGCUACUUGGCAUUAGCUGUAAUUGAUAUGACAGAUACUUCUGGUAUUUCCUAACUUUCCAUGAGGAAAUUAUAUGCAUAUUUAUAACUCCAAUUUUCUUCAACACACAAAUUGCAUCAUUUAUAAAUAUAACUGAGAAUUUCUUGCAGUAACAUGUGAAGGACAAUGCCAGUUCUCCAGACCCUAAAUAACAGAUCCAUUUACUACUGUGAAUACUUCAUCUGUAGCAUAACAGUCUGUGCCUGACUGCAUAUGAGGAUAUAUCAGUCUAAUUACCAAAGUUACUGAGAAUUUAGAGCUCCCACCUAACUAUGCAAUAAGAGUGGGCCUCUGCAAUCAGCCUCACGGUUGAUAUACAUAUUAUUAGGUACAUACGAUGCAAUUCAUGUAGGAAUAAUGUACAGACGUAAGGUUCAGAAGCAGGUCAUUUUCACACAGUAAAGUUCCUUAAACCACUUUCAGAUAAUAGGCACAUCUGAUGCAAUGUGGUCAGUCUGAUGGAGUGACAAUUUAUCCAACAACAGAAGUUUCAUUUUAAAUAGGCUCAUGAAAAUUUUUUUCUGUUAUAGCUGCACCAGCAUUGUCUGUGUUUUAUUGUUUGAGACUCAUAUUCAGAAAAUCUAAAUCUUAGAUUGAACCUUCACUAGUUAAUUCACUCAUUACCAAUUGUAAUUUUCUUAUUCACUGCAGUUACUAUAGAAGCCACAAGGUUUAAUGUGAUUUCUGAAAAAGUUUUAAAAAAUAGUAAGUAAUGGUUGUUCAGCCUGACUCUCACUGUUCCAAAGCUCCUCCACCACCACCAGAUGGAAAGUUCAACAGAAGUAAAAAAAGAACAGACUGAUGAGGCACUUUACAUUUACUUGGCCAGCUAUGUCAUCUUCUCCACCUAGGGCACGGUUACUUGACUGCUCCCCCUCGAAGUCCCAAGUGCCAUCAUCUGCUAAACAAAGGG
ensembl:lncRNA